GACAGAGGGUGCGAACGUUGUUCGGAAUUACUGGGCGUAAAGCGCGUGUAGGCGGCAACGCAAGUCGGGCGUGAAAUCCCACGGCUCAACCGUGGAAGUGCACUCGAAACUGCGUAGCUAGAGUCCUGGAGAGGAAGGUGGAAUGCUUGGUGUAGAGGUGAAAUUCGUAGAUAUCAAGCGGAACACCGGUGGCGAAGGCGGCCUUCUGGACAGUGACUGACGCUGAGACGCGAAAGCGUGGGGAGCAAACAGG
rnacentral:rRNA from 1 species